GAAGAAUGCAUAAAAGUUAGGGUUAGAUGUUAUCCUUCAAUUGAAAUAGUUAAUGUUUUUAGGGCUAUGUGUCAUAUUUAGGAAAAGGGAUAAGAAUAUUCAUUUUGUACUACGUUUAUUCUUUCUUAUAAAUAUCUUAGUGCGUCUAACUUUGACCCUUAAUUUCUUAUAAAUAUUUUGUACUAACUUUAAUAAAUCAUUGCAAAUGACAUCUUCGUAAUGCUCUAAGUAUUGUGCCCAUUUUAUCCUUAUAAUUAUUCACGUAUCAUUCAUUUAUUAGUACAAAACUAUCAUUCUAAAUUUACCCCAAACAUUAAUAUUUUUUCUAAAACCCAAUUGAUUUUUACUUCUAUACGCUAGUUAACAAAUAAUAAAUAAAAUUUUAAAAGCCCGUCGGACAUGCCUAUCUUUCCACUGAUGGAUGAGCUGCUCUAAUACGACAUAGCUAGACUCAUAAGCUAAGUCAUGAGUUAGAGAGUGACAUAUAUGAACAGGCUUAUUUAUCUACUCAGCAAAUGUGAGACUGUUUUCUUAGCCAAAACACAUUUUGAACUAACCCAUCUUCGAAGUUUCUAUGGAAUUUAUUACUAAUGAAUCUUACUUCUAUCAUGCAUGAUGUUCCGCGCGGCUACCGAUGGUGCUUCUGUUGAUUAAAGAAAUUAGAUUUUAUAGUCCAGUCUACAAGGUGCACCUCAAUUUCCAAAAUUAUCAGAAGGAUAUUAUUAUGAGUAAAAUUAUUUAAUUUCCACCAGUAGUGAUAAAUCUAUUUGAAGAAACAAAAUAAAUUCUCACUCUUAUUUUGUCACUUAAUUGGAAGAUAUUCAAAUACUUUUUUUUUCUUUGGCAUAUUCUUCGUAUUUUUCAUUUCAUAAUGGUCAUUGCUGUAACCAUCUUUGGCAUAUUCUUCGUAUUUUUCAUUUCAUAAUGGUCUUUGUAUAUAUUUAAUGACUAAGUUUUUUGUCAAUAUGAAUGACGUAAUAGUCUUGAUUUCAACGAUUAAUGUUUGAUUGAGAAUUAUCAUCAACUAAUAAUAAUCAUGAUUUUUAAGAUCAAUACUGAUUCCUAUUAUCCCAACUCAAGCUUUGUCGAGUAUUUUGGAAAUCAUUGGUAGGAAGCAUUUCUAUAGUUCAUUUUCUCAAAGAAUUUUUCAACUUUAUACAAGUUGUCCCCUUAGACAGCAUUUUCAGUCGAGAACUUAAACAUUUUUCUAAGUUUCAACACAGAUUCUCAUGAUCAAAACUUUUCAUAAAUGUUGUUACUAAAUCCAUAUUUGUCUGUUAGCACUCAUGAUUGAUAAUUUCUUUCCUUUGAGUGGAAACCCUAUUAUCUUUUAGGUGAAACUUGAUAAAGGACCCUUUAAGACUCAAUGCAAAGGAGGAUGAGAAAACUUAUUUAACUU
rnacentral:lncRNA from 1 species